AUCUUUGUGCUUAGGGCAAUGACGUAGUUAGUGAGGUGAAAUCGAGAUGCGUCCGUUGUUGGUUGAAAAUUAUUUCCAUAUUUCUUAUUGCCUCAUUUUCUGUAAAGUUCUACUAUGUAU
rnacentral:snRNA from 1 species